rnacentral:rRNA from 1 species
UGGGGAAUAUUGCACAAUGGAGGGAACUCUGAUGCAGCGACGCCGCGUGAACGAAGAAGGCUUUCGAGUCGUAAAGUUCUUUUAUAUGGGAAGAUAAUGACGGUACCAUAAGAAAAAGCCCCGGCUAACUACGUGCCAGCAGCCGCGGUAAUACGUAGGGGGCUAGCGUUGUCCGGAAUCACUGGGCGUAAAGGGUUCGCAGGCGGAAAUGCAAGUCAGGUGUAAAAGGCAGUAGCUUAACUACUGUAAGCAUUUGAACCUGCAUAUCAUCAGAAGAGUAGAGGUAAGUGGAAUUUUUAGUGUAGCGGUGAAAUGCGUAGAUAUUAAAAAGAAUACCGGUGGCGAAGGCGGCUUACUGGGCUCAUUCUGACGCUGAGGAACGAAAGCGUGGGUAGCAAACAGG